rnacentral:lncRNA from 11 species
CUAUUUAAUACCGUUUUAAUAUUGUGUAUUUGGAUAUUUUUAAUUGUGUUGUAAAGCUUUUAAUGUAUAAUGUUUAAUAAUGUAUAAUGAUAAAAGGCAGCAUUAUCUACUAGGAGAGCCUAGAAACCCUUGCAGAGAAUCCUGGAUGCAUGUCAUGCUGUGAAAGUCCCCAGAAAGCUUUUCUAGGCUCUGCCUUGAGAGGGGAAAGGCCUGCUUCACUUCCGCCGCGCGCGGCCUGCCGGGAGUUGUAGUCCACUCACCUCAGGCAGGGCGUCGCUUGGCGCUUUGCCCAGGGCCAGGGCCAGGCGCGGGAGGGCGGCCUGGGCGCGGCAGGGAAGCCGCUCGUGGGACAUGAGCAGGUCCGGCAGCGAGAGGAAGCUCUCCUCGGGGCCCAGGCCGGGCUCCACCGGCGAGUAGGCCUCCGCCAUGGCCACAACGGUCCAAUUCCGCGCCUCCGCGCAGGCGCAGACGCACUUCCUAUUGCCCCCUCGCCUCUGUACAGCAAAUGGCAGGCGAGAUGCGCACGCGCGCAAAUUGAAUGGGGGUUGAACUGCGCCUGCGCGAAAGUCGAAUGGGGCUUCAUAAUAUUGGAGUAUUGUGAUAUAGUAUAGAGCAGGCAUGGGCAAACUUUGGCCCUCCCUCCAGGUGUUUUGGACUUUAACUUCCACAAUUCCCAACAGCCUCAGGCCCCUUCCUUUCCCCCCCUCAGCCGCCCUUUCUCUACUUUUGAUGAGCCUCAGGUAAUUAAUAGUUAUUAAUAAUUUUAAUAUUAAUAGUUAUUGCUAUUAUUAUUAUUAUUGUGUUGCUGUGAGCCAUGAAAAUGAACACUAUCUGCCUUCCAGUAUUUAAAAAUUCUUACAAUCAGAACAGCAAAUAAAGAACAAAAUUCUGAAAACGGGGGAGGUUCCAGGCAGGAAACAAUCAGGGCCAGCUAACACCUCCCAACAAAGGAUUCCCCCAGGCAGGAAUCAUCC